UACGUAGGGUGCAAGCGUUAAUCGGAAUUACUGGGCGUAAAGCGUGCGCAGGCGGCUUUGCAAGACAGAUGUGAAAUCCCCGGGCUUAACCUGGGAACUGCAUUUGUGACUGCAUGGCUGGAGUGCGGCUGAGGGGGAUGGAAUUCCGCGUGUAGCAGUGAAAUGCGUAGAUAUGCGGAGGAACACCGGUGGCGAAGGCGGCUUUCUGGACAGAAACUGACGCUGAGGCGCGAAAGCUAGGGGAGCAAACAGG
rnacentral:rRNA from 1 species